rnacentral:rRNA from 1 species
CCUACGGGUGGCAGCAGUGAGGAAUAUUGGUCAAUGGACGAGAGUCUGAACCAGCCAAGUAGCGUGAAGGAUGACUGCCCUAUGGGUUGUAAACUUCUUUUAUAUGGGAAUAAAAUGUUCCACGUGUGGGAUUUUGUAUGUACCAUAUGAAUAAGGAUCGGCUAACUCCGUGCCAGCAGCCGCGGUAAUACGGAGGAUCCGAGCGUUAUCCGGAUUUAUUGGGUUUAAAGGGAGCGUAGGUGGAUUGUUAAGUCAGUUGUGAAAGUUUGCGGCUCAACCGUAAAAUUGCAGUUGAUACUGGCAGUCUUGAGUACAGUAGAGGUGGGCGGAAUUCGUGGUGUAGCGGUGAAAUGCUUAGAUAUCACGAAGAACACCGAUUGCGAAGGCAGUUCACUGGACUGCAACUGACACUGAGGCUCGAAAGUGUGGGUAUCAAACAGGAUUAGAUACCCCAGUAGUC